UACGAAGGGGGCUAGCGUUGCUCGGAAUCACUGGGCGUAAAGGGUGCGUAGGCGGGGCUUUAAGUCCGGGGUGAAAUCCUGGAGCUCAACUCCAGAACUGCCUUUGAUACUGAAGAUCUUGAGUUCGGGAGAGGUGAGUGGAACUGCGAGUGUAGAGGUGAAAUUCGUAGAUAUUAGCUAGAACACCAGUGGCGAAGGCGGCCAACUGGUCCGAUACUGACGCUGAGGUGCGAAAGCGUGGGGAGCAAACAGG
rnacentral:rRNA from 1 species